rnacentral:rRNA from 1 species
GAUGAACGCUGGCGGCGUGCUUAACACAUGCAAGUCGAACGAAGCACUCUAUUUGAUUUUCUUCGGAAAUGAAGAUUUUGUGACUGAGUGGCGGACGGGUGAGUAACGCGUGGGUAACCUGCCUCAUACAGGGGGAUAACAGUUGGAAACGACUGCUAAUACCGCAUAAGCGCACAGGAUCGCAUGGUCCGGUGUGAAAAACUCCGGUGGUAUGAGAUGGACCCGCGUCUGAUUAGCCAGUUGGCAGGGUAACGGCCUACCAAAGCGACGAUCAGUAGCCGACCUGAGAGGGUGACCGGCCACAUUGGGACUGAGACACGGCCCAAACUCCUACGGGAGGCAGCAGUGGGGAAUAUUGCACAAUGGGGGAAACCCUGAUGCAGCGACGCCGCGUGAGCGAAGAAGUAUUUCGGUAUGUAAAGCUCUAUCAGCAGGGAAGAAGAAUGACGGUAC